rfam:Mesocricetus auratus contig197534, whole genome shotgun sequence.
GGAUCAAUGAUGACAACAUGUCUCUGAGGAUGCUAAUAGACCUUACUUACCUAUGCCACUCUGAGCUCC